CCUACGGGCGGCAGCAGUGAGGAAUAUUGGUCAAUGGGCGAGAGCCUGAACCAGCCAAUUCGCGUGAGGGAGUACUGCCCUAUGGGUUGUAAACCUCUUUUGUCGGGGAGCAAAAGCCGGACGUGUCCGGCUUUGAGAGUACCCGAAGAAAAAGCAUCAGCUAACUCCGUGCAAGCAGCCGCGGUAAUACGGAGGAUGCGAGCGUUAUCCGGAUUUACGGGGUUUAAGGGGUGCGCAGGCGGAUUUUUAAGUCAGCGGUCAAAUCGUGGGGCUCAACCCCAUCCAGCCGUUGAAACUGGGGAUCUAGAGUGUGCGAGAGGUAUGCGGAAUGCGUGGUGUAGCGGUGAAAUGCAUAGAUAUCACGCAGAACCCCGAUUGCGAAGGCAGCAUACCGGUGCACAACUGACGCUCAGGCACGAAAGCGUGGGUAUCGAACAGGAUUAGAUACCCCUGUAGUC
rnacentral:rRNA from 1 species